rnacentral:rRNA from 1 species
UACGUAGGGUGCGAGCGUUAAUCGGAAUUACUGGGCGUAAAGGGUGCGCAGGCGGUUAUAUAAGACAGAUGUGAAAUCCCCGGGCUCAACCUGGGAACUGCGUUUGUGACUGUAUGACUAGAGUACGGUAGAGAGGGGUGGAAUUCCUGGUGUAGCAGUGAAAUGCGUAGAUAUCAGGAGGAACAUCGAUGGCGGAGGCAGCCCCUUGGACCUGUACUGACGCUCAUGCACGAAAGCGUGGGGAGCAAACAGG